rnacentral:rRNA from 1 species
GGAAGCACCGGCUAACUCCGUGCCAGCAGCCGCGGUAAUACGGAGGGUGCGAGCGUUGUUCGGAUUUAUUGGGCGUAAAGCGCGUGUAGGCGGUUUUUUAAGUCUGAUGUGAAAGCCCCGGGCUCAACCUGGGAAGUGCAUUGGAUACUGGGAGACUUGAAUACGGGAGAGGGUAGUGGAAUUCCUAGUGUAGGAGUGAAAUCCGUAGAUAUUAGGAGGAACACCGGUGGCGAAGGCGGCUACCUGGACCGAUAUUGACGCUGAGACGCGAAAGCGUGGGGAGCAAACAGGAUUAGAUACCCUGGUAGUCCACGCCGUAUACGAUGAGAACUAGGUGUCGCGGGUA